rnacentral:rRNA from 1 species
GGCCCCUUGGUUNAAAAUUGUAUAAGGGGUCUGGUCUGCCCAGUGACUGUAAUAGGUUAAACGGCCGCGGUACCCUGACCGUGCAAAGGUAGCAUAAUCAUUUGCCUUGUAAUUGAAGGCUGGUAUGAAUGGCUUGACGAGGGUUUAGCUGUCUCUGGAGAAAUAAUGAGAAAUUAAUCUUUAAGUGAAGAGGCUUAAAUGAGACUAAGGGACGAGAAGACCCUAUUGAGCUUUAGUUAUGCUUUAAAAUUAAGCUGCUGAAUUUAAUUAAUAGAAUUUAUCAGAAAAGUUUUCUUAGAGCGGAGUCUUUAGUUGGGGCGACUUAGGAAUAACAAAAACUUCCUUUAAGUUUACAUGAUAUUGUAUUAUAAAUAGAAGAUAUUGCGUACGUGCAUUUGAUCCAAUAUAAUAUUGAUUGAAGGAAAAAGUUACCAUAGGGAUAACAGCGUAAUCUUCUUGGCGAGUUCGUAUCAAAAAGGGGGUUUGCGACCUCGAUGUUGGACUAAGAUAUCCUAAAGGCGUAGAAGCUUUUGAGGGUUGGUC